UUUUAUUUAUUAAAUAUUUGAUAUGUUAAUUUAAAUUUAUUAAAAAUAAUUAUAAAAAAAAAUGUUUUAGUAUUUUUUAAAUAAAAAAUAUUAUUAAUAAUAGUAUAUUAGUAUUGUAAAAUAAUAUUGAAAUAAAUUGAAAAAAUUAUUAUUAUAAAAGAAAAUUUAAUUUAUUGUACCUUGUGUAUCAGGGUUUAUUAAAUAAAAAUUAUAUAAAUAAUUUUCUCGAUUUUAAAAGAGUUAAUAUAUUAUAAAAGUUAUUGUAUCAAAAUUAUUUUUAAUAAUAUAUUAGAAAUGAAAUGUUAUUCGUUUUUAAAGGUAUCUAGUUUUUUAAAAAAUAAAUUUAAUUUAGGAAUUUUAUAUUAUUGAAUUAAUUACAUAAAUUUAAUAAAUAUUUAAUUUUAAUAUUUUAUGGGAAAAGCUGUAAAAUAAAAUUUUAAAAAAUAUAAUUUUAUGUUAAUAAAUAUAAAUUUAAAAAUAGUUAUUAUUAGAAAAUUUGUUAUAAUUUAUUUUGUAUUAUAAAUUAUUUAUUAUAUUUUUAAAUUUUUAUUAAAAUUUUUAUUUUAUUUAUUAUAAUAAAGUAAUAAUGAUAUAAUUAGUAUAAUAAAAUGUAUAAAUAUUUGAUAUUGAUAAGUUUUUUUAAAGAAUUCGGCAAAAAUAAUGUUCGCUUGUUUAAUAAAAACAUGUCUUUUUGAAAUUUUUAAAAAGUUUAAUCUGCCCACUGAUAUUUUAAAUGGCCGCAGUAUAUUAACUGUGCAAAGGUAGCAUAAUCAUUAGUCUUUUAAUUGAAGGCUGGUAUGAAUGAUUGGACGAAAUAUUAACUGUUUUAAAUAAAUUUAUAUUAAAAUUUUAUUUUUUAGUAAAAAAGCUAAAAUUUAAUUAAAAGACGAGAAGACCCUUUAAAUCUUUAUAUUUAAAUUAUUAAAAUUUUAAAGAAUAUUUUUAUUAUAAUAAUUAAUAAUAUUUUAUUGGGGUGAUAUUAAAAUUAGAAUAACUUUUAAUUUAUAAGAAUCAUUAAUUUAUGAAUUAUUGAUCCGUUAUUAACGAUUAAAAAUUUAAGUUACUUAAGGGAUAACAGCGUAAUUUUUUUGGAGAGUUCUUAUCGAUAAAAAAGAUUGCGACCUCGAUGUUGGAUUAAGAUAUAUUUUUAGGUGUAGCUACUUAAAUUUUAAGUCUGUUCGACUUUUAAAUUCUUACAUGAUCUGAGUUUAAACCGGUGUAAGCCAGGUUGGUUUCUAUCUUUAAUAAAUCAAAAUAUUUCAGUACGAAAGGACCUAAUAUUAAAUAAAUUAUUAUUUUUAUAUUGAAUAUUAUUAAUAU
rnacentral:rRNA from 1 species